UCACCCAAUUUUCCAUGCAUAACCUCCAUUCAACAGAUGAUGAAUGACUGAAAACGUGAUCGCCGACACACGCAAACAUAAGUGGAUAUGUUCAAGAAUAGCUGAAUGCUGCACGUAACAUUUAAGCAGAAACGAGGCGACGGCUGCAACGACACGACUGUCGCCAGACUGUCGGUUGAGAGGCGGGACCAAAGAGCCGUACAAGCACAAUGGUGACUGUUGUGCCUAUAAGUUAUGAAGAUACGUCCGGGUGUGUUGCAGUUGGCCAGGAGGAGAUAUAUCACAGGAGACAUGAGAGUGGAAGGCUGUCUGGUCUGUGGGGUCCGUGUUAAUAUUCGUAACCCACCUCCAACACCACCUUGAAAGGCUGUGUGGUCCGUGGGGUCCGUGUUAAUAUUCGUAACCCACCUCCAACACCACCUUGAAAGGCUGUGUGGUCCGUGGGGUCCGUGUUAAUAUUCGUAACCCACCUCCAACACCACCUUGAAAGGCUGUGUGGUCCGUGGGGUCCGUGUUAAUAUUCGUAAUCCACCACCAACACCAUCUUAGAAGCAUAAACCUGUUUCCUAAGUUUCGUAAAUUAUUACAGAUUAUUAAAAAAAAACUGAAGGUCUGUUAGCCCAUGUUGGCAGCCACAGUUGUUUCACAACCAAACUUGUUAAGAACAAUCCCGGUAUCCCUCGUUGAUAUUCCCCGGUAGUUUCUUCCAUAUAACACCAACAAUCUUCUCAAGCUAACAUUUCCCCGGGUUUAUUGUUAAUCUAAUCAUACCUUAAGUAUAUAUAUUUAAUGCCUGAUCUAUUUUGUUUUGACAAUUUUAAAACUUUUUACUGUACCUGAUGUGUAAUACCGUUUCACAAAGUUGUUUAAUUCAAUUAUGUUACCAUUUUACCUACUUGAAAUGUACAGUAAGCUUUCCUAAUCUCUGUUCAUAGGGGAAGUUUCUAAUUCCUAAAAAUCUUUACCAAUUUUAUCUGUAGUCGUUAAAGUGAAUGUCCAUUCAAUAUACAACGAUCAAAACGGUAUUACAUAAUCUAAAUAGAGGCAAAAAAUGAAAAUAAACCUAAAUAGUAACAAUAAAUGUUGAUAACGCUUUUAGAAAUGGUUACCCAUAUUUUGUAAUAUUUUAUACAUAAAGCCAUUGCAUAUAUAAACCAAGAUCCCUGUUGACAGGGUAUCUCAAUAUUUUAGCAUGUAAAUUCAUCAGUUUAAACAUUAUCCACCUGGUAACAUACUCAUGUUACCUAGGUUAAGAAUUAUCUGUCUAGCAUUAAAUUUCAUUU